GAGUUUGAUCGUGGCUCAGGAUGAACGCUGGCGGCGUGCUUAACACAUGCAAGUCGAACGAGGAAUUUUAAAUGAGACUUCGGUGGAUUUUAAAAUUCUUAGUGGCGGACGGGUGAGUAACGCGUGGGCAACCUGCCCUGUACAGGGGGGACAACAGCUGGAAACGGCUGCUAAUACCGCAUAAGACCACGGAGCCGCAUGGCUCAGUGGGAAAAACUCCGGUGGUACAGGAUGGGCCCGCGUUGGAUUAGGUAGUUGGUGAGGUAACGGCCCACCAAGCCGACGAUCCAUAGCCGACCUGAGAGGGUGACCGGCCACGUUGGGACUGAGACACGGCCCAAACUCCUACGGGAGGCAGCAGUGGGGAAUCUUCCGCAAUGGGCGAAAGCCUGACGGAGCAACGCCGCGUGAGUGAAGAAUUAUUUCGGUAUGUAAAGCUCUAUCAGCAGGGAAGAAAAUGACGGUACCUGACUAAGAAGCCCCGGCUAACUACGUGCCAGCCGCCGCCGUAAG
rnacentral:rRNA from 1 species